rnacentral:antisense_RNA from 1 species
UGUGGGAGCGGGCUUGCUCGCGAUGCAUACAACUCGGUCUAACGAAUAGACCGUGUCGAUGUCAUCGCGAGCAAGCCCGCUCCCACA